GGCCUUCGGGUUGUAAACUGCUUUUGUACGGAACGAAAAGGCCCUGGUGAACAACCGGGGUUGCUGACGGUACCGUAGGAAUAAGCACCGGCUAACUACGUGCCAGCAGCCGCGGUAAUACGUAGGGUGCGAGCGUUAAUCGGAAUUACUGGGCGUAAAGCGUGCGCAGGCGGACAUGCAAGACAGAUGUGAAAUCCCCGGGCUCAACCUGGGAACUGCAUAUGUGACUGUAUGACUGGAGUACCGGCAGAGGGGGAUGGAAUUCCGCGUGUAGCAGUGAAAUGCGUAGAUAUGCGGAGGAACACCGAUGGCGAAGGCAAUCCCCUGGGCCAGUACUGACGCUCAUGCACGAAAGCGUGGGGAGCAAACAGGAUUAGAUACCCUGGUAGUCC
rnacentral:rRNA from 1 species